rnacentral:rRNA from 1 species
UACGUAGGGUGCGAGCGUUGUCCGGAAUUAUUGGGCGUAAAGAGUUCGUAGGCGGUUUGUCGCGUCGUUUGUGAAAACUCACAGCUCAACUGUGAGCCUGCAGGCGAUACGGGCAGACUUGAGUACUGCAGGGGAGACUGGAAUUCCUGGUGUAGCGGUGAAAUGCGCAGAUAUCAGGAGGAACACCGGUGGCGAAGGCGGGUUGCUAGGCUGACACUGACGCUGAAGCGCGAAAGCCAGGGGAGCAAACGGG